rnacentral:lncRNA from 1 species
AUGCCUCUUGAGAUGAGUAAUUUGAGGGUUGUUCUUCUGGGUAAGAGUGUGUCAGAGAACAGCCAAGUGGGAAACUUCAUCUUAGGAAGAGCAGUGUUUGACAGUGAAUCUCCUUCAGAUGAUGUAGUGCCGUACAGUGACAGAGUCCGAGGAAAACAUGUGACUGUCAUCAACACUCCUCUCCUGCUCAACCCAGAUCUCUCACUACGUCACAUCACACAGGCAGUGAAGGAGUGUUUGUCUCUCUCUGCUCCAGGACCUCACGUGAUCAUUCUGGUGCUCAAACCUGACGAGUGUUCAAGAGAAGAGGUGCAUCGAGAUCCUGCUCAGCUGUUCUCUGACAGAGUGUUUCAGCACACCCCGGUGCUCACGACACAAAAGCCAGACCCCGCUGAGCCAACUGAAGUCAAUGAUGUCAUAAAGGAAAUCAUUAAAAAAUAGUUGUAACAGACACAACAGAUUGGAGAGAAACAGCACUCCUGAUGACCUUAUAGCCACAGUGAAGGAAAUAGUUCAGGAGAAUGAUGGAUGUUACUUGAAUUGUAACAAAUGUGAGGACUUCACUACAGACGCCACAGAAAGAGGUGAGUGCACAAAAUAAUUCAGUAAAUAUCAUAUUUAUUUGGUUUUUAAAAAACGUCAGAGACAAACUUUUUCACUGGCUUUAAUAAAAUCCCGGUGUCUUUUGUUCCUACCUUGUUUAAAACACUUGAAAUGACAGAUGCCAGAUCUUCUAAUCAUGAUAACUGAUACCUGACUAAUUUGACACUCACGCAAUAGCUGUCAUUGUUCAAAGUAAUGCAUGGCUCAGAUUUACUGUACAGCAUGUAAGACUAAUAAAAUGAUAGUCAUUAUUCUAUAACAAUUAAAUCUCUCAAAAGUUUCCAUACACCUAAUUUUUAAGUGCAUUUUUGGGAUAUCACACACACACACACACACACACACACACACACACACACACACAUACAUAUAUAUAUGUGUGUGUGUGUGUGUGUGUGUGUGUGUGUAUAUAUAUGCACGAAAAUUAUUAUAUACAGUGGCUUCUUCUACUUAGUGAUAUUUCUGUCAGGACCACUAUCGUCAAAAUAAUAGACACUUACCAUACAGUUUGGUUUGGCGGUAUGGUGCUGUUCUGGGCAAAAAAUUCCCUGCCCAUCCAUGCAGCCUGUCAUGAAUGAGCUGGGAGAGCACCGAUAAUAACCCCACUGACCACAACUGAUGGCAUAUCUGAAAGAAGCAUGUCCUUCUGAAAUAACAGAGACUGGGGCAGCAGGCCCUUACGGGAGAAGGGUAGCAGUGAAGGGGUGCUCUUCAUUAUACCAGCUAAGAAGAGCAGCAAGCCCCUUUAAUGCAGUACCUGAAAAAGAUUAAAGAUGCAGAAAACCCACUAGAAUUGGCAGCCUAGUUUGCAGCAAACACAGCAUACUGCAGCCAUAGAAGUGAGCAAAUGACUGGUUCAGAGAUCCCAGAUUCUACCUGGCCUAAAAGCUUCAGCGUCCACUUAAAAACUCUAUAACAACAGCAUAUAAUAACUCAAAUCAACUCAUCAGCUUACAGGUUUGUCGCCUAACAUUGAGAUUUGGGCUUACAAUCAUCCGGGUUUAAAUCGCACUCAAGUUGAUUUGAUUUUGACGCAAUAUUUAAACUGAAGCUUGCAGGCCGCUAUGGUAAGGGGCAUGACAUUUCCCAACCAGGUGCCGAGUGGAGCCAAUCACAACACACACUGGCCCAGCUAACCAAUCACAGCACAUUUCAUAUUGCAGAAGGUGGGCCUUUAUUUGAAACAGGAACUAUUC